rnacentral:rRNA from 1 species
AAAUUGAAGAGUUUGAUCAUGGCUCAGAUUGAACGCUGGCGGCAGGCCUAACACAUGCAAGUCGAACGGUAACAGGAAACAGCUUGCUGUUUCGCUGACGAGUGGCGGACGGGUGAGUAAUGUCUGGGAAACUGCCUGAUGGAGGGGGAUAACUACUGGAAACGGUAGCUAAUACCGCAUAAUGUCGCAAGACUAAAGAGGGGGACCUUCGGGCCUCUUGCCAUCGG